CUCUGCUAAAGGUGAUUUAAAUUAACCUGUUCUUCCUUGAUUUGCUGUGGAGCAAGGAGGUAUGUGUGUGCAGUUCAGCAAACACACUGCUCAUAUUAUCUCAAACUUUACAGAUUUACAUCUGAAUUUGGGCUACAACUUAGAGUUUAUCCAUCCAACAUCUACCUGUAGCCUAGUUAUUGGGUUACUGUGUCCCAAACACUGGAUUGUGCAUUUCUGCAAGACAGAGACCAGCGCCAAUAUUUGCAGGCACCUCAGCAUCCAUCUCUUUGGAGAAGGCAAGAGUGAAGGCUGAAAUUCAUGCCAAGCAAUGGAAGCCAGCAGGGAUACCUUCUGUAAUCAGCUUUCCAAAGAGCUGAGGAAAUGCCCCUCACUGCAGACUGAGGCAGAUUGCCUGGAAGUGGCUUGUACAGCCCUGUUUGCUUUUGCACUGGCUGGGGAGAUAAGUGCUCAUGGAACCAUGAAGGCAACACACAGCUGGACUUUCCUUUGGGGUAGGCACUGGGUGGAAGGUAGGAAAUUUGCUGGGGCAUGAGGCAGCCUGGGCUAAAUAUGCACAGUGGCCAUCACCUUUGUUAGAGUAAUUCUUGCUAGCAUGCAAAAAAUUGGCAGAGAAAAUAUCUAGGUGAUAGUUAUUUUAAAAUUAUUAUUAUUGUUAAAAUUAUUAUUAUUAUUGUGAUACAAUUUUCUUUACCAGUUUUUUUUUUUUUUUAAAAAAAAACACAUCACCAGCAAAAAGUCUCUUAAAGGACCUUUUAAUUAUUAGAAUAUUUUUUCAUAUAACUUUUCUUAGAAUAACAUGGAAAAUCAAGACAAUUGUGGUAAAAUAAGGGAUUGAUGACUUAUGCUUAUAAACAUACUAAUAAUUGGAAUCUGAUAAAAACCUCUUUGCCUUUCUUUAGACUUAUUUGUAGCAAUGCCUUCUGACAGAUUUGAGUAAAACUGAAUCCAAGCCAGAGAGCUGGGACCUUUGUUUUACUGGGCAAUUGCCUCUAAGACUUGGGAUGGUACAAGUAAGCUGAAGACUGUUUCCUUAAAGCCUUCUUAACUUUUGUAUACUAUGUUUACAUUCUCAUUAAAAUGGAUCAGCUUGUAUAUAGGACAGUAAGUGCUACCAGUUCCCUUAAUAAACUUCUGGUUUGUCCCA
rnacentral:lncRNA from 1 species